rnacentral:rRNA from 1 species
UGCGUAGGUGGCGAGGUAAGUUUGAUGUGAAAUCUCCGAGCUCAACUCGGAAACGGCAUUGAAUACUAUCCCGCUUGAGGGUCGGAGGGGAGACUGGAAUUCUCGGUGUAGCAGUGAAAUGCGUAGAUAUCGAGAGGAACACCAGUGGCGAAGGCGAGUCUCUGGACGACUCCUGACACUGAGGCACAAAGGCUGGGGAGCAAACA